rnacentral:rRNA from 1 species
UAACAUUAAUUUCAAGCUGUGAUGCAUAGGGAAGAGGAGACUCAAGUACCGAAUUAAAUGACUCUCUGUUUCCAAGAAAAGUCUCUAGCGCUAAUUCAAUAACAACCUGUACCAAGAACGGACACACGUCCCCAAGAUGAGUAUUCUAAGGUGAGCGAGAAAACCAAUGUUAAGGAACUCUGCAAAAUUAUCCCGUACGUUCGCAAGAAGGGAUGCCCUUUUUCUUAAAGGGCCUCAGUAAAAUAGGGGGGGCAACUGUUUAUCAAAAACACAGCUCUCUGCAAAGGUGUAAACCGAAGUAUAGAGGGUGAAGCCUGCCCAGUGCCCGAAGGUUAAGCGGAGAUGUUAGCCUAUUGGCGAAGCAUUCAAGUGAAGCCCGGGUGAACGGCGGCCGUAACUAUAACGGUCCUAAGGUAGCGAAAUUCCUUGUCAACUAAUUAUUGACCUGCACGAAAGGCGCAAUGAUCUCCCUACUGUCUCAACAUUGGACUCGGUGAAAUUAUGGUACCAGUGAAAACGCUGGUUACCCGCAUCAAGACGAAAAGACCCCGUGGAGCUUUACUAUAACUUCGUAUUGAGAAUUGGUUUAUUAUGUGUAGGAUAGGUGGGAGAUGUCGAUCCAAGGGCGCUAGUCCUUGUGGAGUCAACCUUGAAAUACCACCCUUAAUAAAUUGAUUUUCUAACCUGCUUCCCUUAACAGGAAGAGAGACAGUGCGUGGUGGGUAGUUUGACUGGGGCGGUCGCCUCCUAAAGAGUAACGGAGGUGUUCAAAGCUACACUCAAUAUGGUCGGAAACCAUAUGCAGAGCAUAAAGGUAAAAGUGUGGUUGACUGCAAGACCUACAAGUCGAGCAGGUGCGAAAGCAGGACUUAGUGAUCCGGCGGUUCAUUGUGGAAUGGCCGUCGCUCAACGGAUAAAAGCUACCCCGGGGAUAACAGGCUAAUCUUCCCCAAGAGAUCACAUCGACGGGAAGGUUUGGCACCUCGAUGUCGGCUCAUCGCAUCCUGGAGCUGAAGUCGGUUCCAAGGGUUUGGCUGUUCGCCAAUUAAAGCGGUACGUGAGCUGGGUUCAGAACGUCGUGAGACAGUUCGGUCCCUAUCUGAUGUGGGCGUUGGAAUAUUGAUGAGAGCUGCUCUUAGUACGAGAGGACCGGAGUGGACGUACCGCUGGUGUUCCAGUUGUCUUGCCAAAGGCAUAGCUGGGUAGCUAAGUACGGAAAAGAUAACCGCUGAAAGCAUCUAAGCGGGAAGCUUCCUCAAAGAUGAGUAUUCCUUAUGAAAUUCCUUAUAGACCAUGAGGUUGAUAGGUUAGAGGUGUAAGUGUAGCAAUACAUUCAGCUGACUAAUACUAAUAAAUUCAAAGUUUAAAAAG